GUUGACAAGAAGACUAAACAGGCAGACAGACUGGUAGACAGACAGGUGAACAAGAAGACUAAACAGGCAGACAGACUGGUAGACAGACAGGUGAACAAGAAGGCUGGUAAGAAGGUAGAUGUUGGGAAAGCUUUAAAUAAUGUUUACACCUCAAUAUUACACAAAGUGUCUCUGAGAGACACUUUGUCUCUCAGAGACACUUUGUGUUCUGGUUCCACUGAUAUUCAAGAUGUUUGUGAGUCAAUGUCCAGAUAAUCUAGUGGUGCAUGAGGUGGAGAAGAUGCUGGUCUAUCUCCACGGUGGAUUACUGGUGGGUCUAUUUUCCAGCUAUAUAUUACUGUACCAGAGAAACAUUCCUUCUUUUAGAGUAUCAUAUGUUGUCCAUUCUGUCUCCUACUUCAAGUGUCAUUUAAUAAAUGUCCUGUUUACACUGGUGUCAAGUAACCUUUUUUUAACAGUAGAAGAAUGCAGGUAGGUAUCAAUGCUAAUGACACCAAUAGCUGGUUCUAGAGGUAUGAUGUCAUAAAGAUGUUCAAAAUAAAGCAAACUGAGAUGGAAGUGCAUUUAAUCAGAUCCUAGAAAGGUCAGCCAAUAUAUUUCACAACUUUAUGACUUUAUGAUGUGAUUUGAUGUGUGUCUGCUCUUAUACUGUAUGUAUAUAUACACACACAUGUAUGUAUGUUAAUCAUAAUAAAGGCCUUCUGGGAAGAGCUGUGAUUUCACCACAUGGUCAAAGAAGGACAGUAACAGCGAGCUGAAUAUUGGCAUGGUAACAGUGUGGAUCAUCAGCUGCUGUUUGUGUCCACAGAAGUACACUUAACCGAGGAGAGACGUCCCCAUGACACACUCAGAACAUGGCCAUACGAGGGACACACGCAGACUCGUGGACACACGUGUCAUCAUCCGUCUAACUGCAGCUCGUCCCCUCCUCCUCGCCGCCGUCCGGUCCACAGCUGUUGUCGUGGUAACUGAUGCUGACACUGUGAUACGUUUGCAGCAGAACAAAAUGAAGAAACAACAUGCUGCACGGAAGCAGAAGUUGGGGUGGUGUCCAGUAAACAAUGUGACGGCAUCCACCCACUUUGGAUGGAGGACUCGGACCCAGUUUCUCAGCGGAACGUUUCCAUGACGACCCAGAGUUCAGACCAGGAAGCAGAGGUGCAGUCUCACAUUCUUCUCCCUCUGAGUCUUCAUGAGUCUGAGCUAACAAACAUCUCCACACAUAAGAGGACGUGACUCCCUCAGGGUGAACAAGGAGACACAAGGGACUUAUCUAGGAAAGCUUCCUGGAAGGAGAGAAUGAAAAUGACAGAUGAGCUGAUGGUAGCAGGAGAUGGAGGAGGACGCGGACACGCAGGGGGAGGAGGAAGAGGAGGAGGAGCAGCUCCUAACUAAACUACAGUAACUUCACUGAGAAGUGCUGGAAGACGGAGGAGGAGAAAGGAAG
ensembl:lncRNA